CACGGGGGGAGCAAGCGUUGUUCGGAAUCACUGGGCGUAAAGGGCGUGUAGGCGGUCAAGUAAGUGGAAUGUGAAAGCCCCCGGCUUACCCGGGGAUCUGCAUCCCAAACUGCUUGGCUUGAGUACGGGAGAGGAUGGAGGAAUUCCUGGUGUAGCGGUGAAAUGCGUAGAUAUCAGGAGGAACACCGGUGGCGAAGGCGUCCAUCUGGCCCGAUACUGACGCUGAGGCGCGAAAGCUAGGGGAGCGAACGGG
rnacentral:rRNA from 1 species